GUGAAUUAAACAUGCUUGGUGUCUUCGCUUCGGCAAGGCCCUUGCUUAAAUCACAUCCUAACACCUGUGAACUGUAAGACGUAUGAUGAGGUCUUUGGCCAAGUCAUCGUCUGCCUAUUUUUAACAAACAAUUAAUGUAACAAACGUAGUCUUAUUAUAACCUAAUA
rnacentral:misc_RNA from 1 species